rnacentral:rRNA from 1 species
UGGGGAAUAUUGCACAAUGGGCGCAAGCCUGAUGCAGCCAUGCCGCGUGUAUGAAGAAGGCCUUCGGGUUGUAAAGUACUUUCAGCGGGGAGGAAGGGAGUAAAGUUAAUACCUUUGCUCAUUGACGUUACCCGCAGAAGAAGCACCGGCUAACUCCGCGCCAGCAGCCGCGGUAAUACGGAGGGUGCAAGCGUUAAUCGGAAUUACUGGGCGUAAAGCGCACGCAGGCGGUUUGUUAAGUCAGAUGUGAAAUCCCCGGGCUCAACCUGGGAACUGCAUCUGAUACUGGCAAGCUUGAGUCUCGUAGAGGGGGGUAGAAUUCCAGGUGUAGCGGUGAAAUGCGUAGAGAUCUGGAGGAAUACCGGUGGCGAAGGCGGCCCCCUGGACGAAGACUGACGCUCAGGUGCGAAAGCGUGGGGAGCAAACAGG